rnacentral:rRNA from 1 species
GACGAACGCUGGCGGCGUGCUUAACACAUGCAAGUCGAACGGAAAGGCCUCUUUCGGGGGGUACUCGAGUGGCGAACGGGGGAGUAACACGUGAGUAACCUGCCCUUUACUUUGGGGUAACUUCAGGAAACUGGGGCUAUUACCGGAUAGAAGCUCCUCUGGCAUGGGGGGGGGUGGAAAGUUUCGGCGGUUGGGGGUGGACUCGCGGCUUAUCAGCUGUUUGGUGGGGUAGUGGCUUACCAAGGCUUUGACGGGUAGCCGGCCUUGGAGGGUGACCGGCCACAUUGGGACUGAGAUACGGCCCAGACUCCUACGGGAGGCAGCAGUGGGGAAUAUUGCACCAUGGGUGGAAGCCUGAUGCAGCAACGCCGUGUGCGGGAUGACGGCCUUCGGGUUGUAAACCGCUUUCGCUCAUGACGAAGCUUUGUGUGACGGUAGUGGGUAAAGAAGCACCGGCUAACUACGUG